rnacentral:rRNA from 1 species
GACGAACGCUGGCGGCGUGCUUAACACAUGCAAGUCGAACGGUAAGGCCCUUCGGGGUACACGAGUGGCGAACGGGUGAGUAACACGUGGGUGAUCUGCCCUGCACUUCGGGAUAAGCCUGGGAAACUGGGUCUAAUACCGGAUAGGACCACUGCCUGCAUGGGUGGUGGUGGAAAGCUUUUGCGGUGUGGGAUGGGCCCGCGGCCUAUCAGCUUGGUGGUGGGGUGAUGGCCUACCAAGGCGAUGACGGGUAGCCGGCCUGAGAGGGUGACCGGCCACACUGGGACUGAGAUACGGCCCAGACCCCUACGGGAGGCAGCGGUGGGGAAUACUGCACAAUGGGCGCAAGCCUGGUGCAGCGGCGCCGCGUGAGGGAUGACGGCCUUCGGGUUGUAAACCUCUUUCAGCACCGACGAAGCGCAAGUGACGGUAGGUGCAGAAGAAGGACCGGCCAACUACGUGCCAGCCGCCGCAGUAA